rnacentral:rRNA from 1 species
AACGAACGCUGGCGACAGGCUUAACACAUGCAAGUCGAGCGCCCCGCAAGGGGGGCGGCAGACGGGUGAGUAACGCGUGGGAAUCUACCCAUCUCUACGGAAUAACGCAUGGAAACGUGUGCUAAUACCGUAUACGUCCUUCGGGAGAAAGAUUUAUCGGAGAUGGAUGAGCCCGCGUUGGAUUAGCUAGUUGGUGGGGUAAAGGCCUACCAAGGCGACGAUCCAUAGCUGGUCUGAGAGGAUGAUCAGCCACACUGGGACUGAGACACGGCCCAGACUCCUACGGGAGGCAGCAGUGGGGAAUAUUGGACAAGGGGCGCAAGCCUGAUCCAGCCAUGCCGCGUGAGUGAUGAAGGCCCUAGGGUUGUAAAGCUCUUUCACCGGUGAAGAUAAUGACGGUAACCGGAGAAGAAGCCCCGGCUAACUUCGUGCCAGCCGCCGCAGUAAGAC